rnacentral:rRNA from 1 species
GACGAACGCUGGCGGCGUGCUUAACACAUGCAAGUCGAACGGAAAGGCCCUGCUUUUGUGGGGUGCUCGAGUGGCGAACGGGUGAGUAACACGUGAGUAACCUGCCCUUGACUUUGGGAUAACUUCAGGAAACUGGGGCUCAUACCGGAUAGGAUCUCCUGCUGCAUGGUGGGGGUUGGAAAGUUUCGGCGGUUGGGGAUGGACUCGCGGCUUAUCAGCUUGUUGGUGGGGUAGUGGCUUACCAAGGCUUUGACGGGUAGCCGGCCUGAGAGGGUUACCGGCGACAAUGGGACUGAGGUACGGCCCAGAAGCCUACGGGAGGCAGCGGUCGGGAAUAUUGCACAGUGGGGGGAAGCCAGAUGCAGAAACGCCGGGAGCGGGAUAACGGCCUUCGGGUUAUGAACCGCUUUCGCCGGUGACGAAGCGUGAGUGACGGUAAUGAGUAAAGAAGCACCGGCUAACUACGUG